GGGGAGAUACCGAAGUGGCCAAACGGGACGGACUGUAAAUCCGUUGGCACCGCCUUCAGAGGUUCGAAUCCUCUUCUCCCCACCA
rnacentral:tRNA from 2 species